UGAAGAGCGAAGUGGUCAGACCGGUGGGUGAUAUCUGCAUGGCUUUUCAACGAUAGUGACAACUGAGGAACACCAAGGGGCUGAGAAGUUACAACGUGGUGGCUUUAUUUCUGCUGGACAGUAUACGCUGAUUGGACCAUGCUGGUUGACCUGGAUUACAACCACCGUGUCCACAGUCCAGCCAGGAGAAAAGCUGAUGACACCUUUCAGUACAGCAAGGUGUACAACAGAAAGUCCAGGAAGUGGAGCUUGUACUCAUUGAAGGUGGAG